CCCUUAGAUGUCCUGGGCUGCACGCGCGCUACACUGAUGUGUCCAGUAAGCACCUAACCUCUUCCGAAAGGAACGGGUAACCUUUGCAAAGCACAUCGUGAUGGGGAUAGAUUAUUGCAAUUAUUAGUCUUGAACGAGGAAUUCCUAGUAAGCACAAGUCAUCAGCUUGUGUUGAUUACGUCCCUGCCCUUUGUACACACCGCCCGUCGCUCCUACCGAUUGAGUGUCUCGGUGAAUUCUUUGAUCUUCUGUCGAUUCAGUUCACUGAUCCGACGGUGGAAAGUUGAAUGAACUUCGUCACUUAGAGGAAGGAGAAGUCGUAACA
rnacentral:rRNA from 1 species